GGCGGCGUGCUUAACACAUGCAAGUCGAACGGAAAGGCCCUGCUUUUGUGGGGUGCUCGAGUGGCGAACGGGUGAGUAACACGUGAGUAACCUGCCCUUGACUUUGGGAUAACUUCAGGAAACUGGGGCUAAUACCGGAUAGGAGCUCCUGCUGCAUGGUGGGGGUUGGAAAGUUUCGGCGGUUGGGGAUGGACUCGCGGCUUAUCAGCUUGUUGGUGGGGUAGUGGCUUACCAAGGCUUUGACGGGUAGCCGGCCUGAGAGGGUGACCGGCCACAUUGGGACUGAGAUACGGCCCAGACUCCUACGGGAGGCAGCAGUGGGGAAUAUUGCACAAUGGGCGGAAGCCUGAUGCAGCAACGCCGCGUGCGGGAUGACGGCCUUCGGGUUGUAAACCGCUUUCGCCUGUGACGAAGCGUGAGUGACGGUAAUGGGUAAAGAAGCACCGGCUAACUACGUGCCAGCAGCCGCGGUGAUACGUAGGGUGCGAGCGUUGUCCGGAUUUAUUGGGCGUAAAGGGCUCGUAGGUGGUUGAUCGCGUCGGAAGUGUAAUCUUGGGGCUUAACCCUGAGCGUGCUUUCGAUACGGGUUGACUUGAGGAAGGUAGGGGAGAAUGGAAUUCCUGGUGGAGCGGUGGAAUGCGCAGAUAUCAGGAGGAACACCAGUGGCGAAGGCGGUUCUCUGGGCCUUUCCUGACGCUGAGGAGCGAAAGCGUGGGGAGCGAACAGGCUUAGAUACCCUGGUAGUCCACGCUGUAAACGGUGGGUACUAGGUGUGGGGUCCAUUCCACGGGUUCCGUGCCGUAGCUAACGCUUUAAGUACCCCGCCUGGGGGGUACGGCCGCAAGGCUAAAACUCAAAGGAAUUGACGGGGCCCCGCACAAGCGGCGGAGCAUGCGGAUUAAUUCGAUGCAACGCGUAGAACCUUACCUGGGUUUGACAUGGAUCGGGAGCGCUCAGAGAUGGGUGUGCCUCUUUUGGGGUCGGUUCACAGGUGGUGCAUGGCUGUCGUCAGCUCGUGUCGUGAGAUGUUGGGUUAAGUCCCGCAACGAGCGCAACCCUUGUUCACUGUUGCCAGCACGUUAUGGUGGGGACUCAGUGGAGACCGCCGGGGUCAACUCGGAGGAAGGUGGGGAUGACGUCAAGUCAUCAUGCCCCUUAUGUCCAGGGCUUCACGCAUGCUACAAUGGCUGGUACAGAGAGUGGCGAGCCUGUGAGGGUGAGCGAAUCUCGGAAAGCCGGUCUCAGUUCGGAUUGGGGUCUGCAACUCGACCUCAUGAAGUCGGAGUCGCUAGUAAUCGCAGAUCAGCAACGCUGCGGUGAAUACGUUCCCGGGGCUUGUACACACCGCCCGUCAAGUCAUGAAAGUUGGUAACACCCGAAGCCGGUGGCCUAACCGUUGUGGGGGAGCCGUCGAAGGUGGGACUGGUGAUUAGGACUAAGUCG
rnacentral:rRNA from 1 species